rnacentral:lncRNA from 1 species
AUACCCACCGACCGACCGACCGACUAUCGGAGGGCCCGACCGGCUGGCGGCCCGACCGACCGACCGACUAUCGGAGGGCCCGACCGGCUGGCGGCCCGACCGACCGACCGACGGCCCGACGAACGACUCUGACUGGCCGAUCGUGAGUCGGGCGACAGGCCAACGGACGUUGGCAGCGGCUAACUGCGGCCAUUCCACGGUCCAUUCCCGACCGACUAAAUCCAGAGGUCCGGUAGCCGACCCACACG